CCUACGGGAGGCAGCAGUGGGGAAUAUUGGACAAUGGGGGCAACCCUGAUCCAGCCAUGCCGCGUGUGUGAAGAAGGCCCUCGGGUUGUAAAGCACUUUCAGUGAGGAAGAACGCCUGGUGGUUAAUACCCAUCAGGAAAGACAUCACUCACAGAAGAAGCACCGGCUAACUCCGUGCCAGCAGCCGCGGUAAUACGGAGGGUGCGAGCGUUAAUCGGAAUUACUGGGCGUAAAGCGCGCGUAGGUGGCUUGAUAAGCCGGUUGUGAAAGCCCCGGGCUCAACCUGGGAACGGCAUCCGGAACUGUCAAGCUAGAGUGCAGGAGAGGAAGGUAGAAUUCCCGGUGUAGCGGUGAAAUGCGUAGAGAUCGGGAGGAGUACCAGUGGCGAAGGCGGCCUUCUGGACUGACACUGACACUGAGGUGCGAAAGCGUGGGUAGCAAACAGGAUUAGAUACCCCAGUAGUC
rnacentral:rRNA from 1 species